rfam:TPA: Bos taurus chromosome 23, whole genome shotgun sequence.
CCAACGGCUCUUUUCAGAGCCAACCUACAUUGUCAAAGAAAAGGCUG